rnacentral:rRNA from 1 species
GAUGAACGCUGGCGGCGUGCCUAAUACAUGCAAGUCGAGCGAACAGACGAGGAGCUUGCUCCUCUGACGUUAGCGGCGGACGGGUGAGUAACACGUGGAUAACCUACCUAUAAGACUGGGAUAACUUCGGGAAACCGGAGCUAAUACCGGAUAAUAUAUUGAACCGCAUGGUUCAGUAGUGAAAGACGGUUUUGCUGUCACUUAUAGAUGGAUCCGCGCCGCAUUAGCUAGUUGGUAAGGUAACGGCUUACCAAGGCAACGAUGCGUAGCCGACCUGAGAGGGUGAUCGGCCACCCUGGAACUGAGACACGGUCCAGACUCCUACGGGAGGCAGCAGUAGGGAAUCUUCCGCAAUGGGCGAAAGCUUGACGGAGCAACGCCGCGUGAGUGAUGAAGGUCUUCGGAUCGUAAAACUCUGUUAUUAGGGAAGAACAAAUGUGUAAGUAACUAUGCACGUCUUGACGGUACCUAAACAGAAAGCCACGGCUAACUACGUG